rnacentral:rRNA from 1 species
CCUACGGGAGGCAGCAGUGAGGAAUAUUGGUCAAUGGCCGGGAGGCUGAACCAGCCAAGUCGCGUGAGGGAAGACGGCCCUACGGGUUGUAAACCUCGUUUGUCAGGGAGCAAGGUGCAGGUCGGGACCGGCUGUGAGAGUACCUGAAGAAAAAGCAUCGGCUAACUCCGUGCCAGCAGCCGCGGUAAUACGGGGGAUGCGAGCGGUAUCCGGAUUUAUGGGGUUUAAAGGGUGCGCAGGCGGAGGCACAAGUCAGCGGUAAAAUCGCGGGGCUCAACCCCGGUCCGCCGUUGAAACUGUGUCCCUUGAGUGCGCGACGGGUAGGCGGAAUGCGUGGUGUAGCGGU